CCUACGGGUGGCAGCAGUGGGGAAUAUUGGACAAUGGGCGAAAGCCUGAUCCAGCCAUGCCGCGUGUGUGAAGAAGGCCUUCGGGUUGUAAAGCACUUUCAGUGGGGAAGAAAGCCUUGGGGCUAAUACCCUCGAGGAAGGACAUCACCCACAGAAGAAGCACCGGCUAACUCCGUGCCAGCAGCCGCGGUAAUACGGAGGGUGCGAGCGUUAAUCGGAAUUACUGGGCGGAAAGCGCGCGUAGGCGGUCUGAUAAGCCGGUUGUGAAAGCCCCGGGCUCAACCUGGGAACGGCAUCCGGAACUGUCAGGCUAGAGUGCAGGAGAGGAAGGUAGAAUUCCCGGUGUAGCGGUGAAAUGCGUAGAGAUCGGGAGGAAUACCAGUGGCGAAGGCGGCCUUCUGGACUGACACUGACGCUGAGGUGCGAAAGCGUGGGUAGCAAACAGGAUUAGAUACCCGAGUAUUC
rnacentral:rRNA from 1 species